rnacentral:rRNA from 1 species
UGGGGAAUAUUGGACAAUGGGCGAAAGCCUGAUCCAGCCAUGCCGCGUGUGUGAAGAAGGCCCUCGGGUUGUAAAGCACUUUCAGUGGGGAAGAAGGCCUCGGGAUUAAUACUUCCGAGGAAGGACAUCACCCACAGAAGAAGCACCAGCUAACUCCGUGCCAGCAGCCGCGGUAAUACGGAGGGUGCGAGCGUUAAUCGGAAUUACUGGGCGUAAAGCGCGCGUAGGCGGUCUGAUCAGCCGGUUGUGAAAGCCCCGGGCUCAACCUGGGAACGGCAUCCGGAACUGUCAGGCUAGAGUGCAGGAGAGGAAGGUAGAAUUCCCGGUGUAGCGGUGAAAUGCGUAGAGAUCGGGAGGAAUACCAGUGGCGAAGGCGGCCUUCUGGACUGACACUGACGCUGAGGUGCGAAAGCGUGGGUAGCAAACA